GUGCCAGCAGCCGCGGUAAUACGUAGGGUGCAAGCGUUAAUCGGAAUUACUGGGCGUAAAGCGUGCGCAGGCGGCUUUGUAAGUCUGUCGUGAAAGCCCCGGGCUUAACCUGGGAAUUGCGAUGGAGACUGCAAGGCUUGAAUCUGGCAGAGGGGGGUAGAAUUCCACGUGUAGCAGUGAAAUGCGUAGAGAUGUGGGGGAACACCGAUGGCGAAGGCAGCCCCCUGGGUCAAGAUUGACGCUCAUGCACGAAAGCGUGGGGAGCAAAC
rnacentral:rRNA from 1 species